rnacentral:lncRNA from 1 species
AAAGGCAUCAGUAAACCAGGCUGCUGUGCAGAAUCUACCCAGCGGCAACGCUGCCCGGUUCCCCGUAUGGCAUCCAGCACCCCUGACGUGGUGACAGNNNNNNNNNNNNNNNNNNNNNNNNNNNNNNNNNNNNNNNNNNNNNNNNNNAGCUUUACUCACACACAGAUGAGAAAGCCUGUCUGAGCCCCUUAGUCAAAAUCAGGUGCCAUUUUGCCUACGUCUACAUCUUUAAAAUAGCCCUUCUUUGCUCCACUCUUUUCUUUUUAAAGAGUUCAUCAUUUUUGUCCACCUCCCCCCCCAGAAGAAGUUCAGUAAGCAUUUACUGAAUGGUCUAAACCUGGUCCUCUUACUAAUGUCACCCAACGCAGAAGUUGGGGGGUUUUUGGGUGCCUCCCCUUGCCCCAGUUCCUUGUAUCAAAUUAUCCCCCAAGACCUAUGUUAGGGAAAUCAAAAUAGAGGAAGUCUUGUUCAGGCUUCAAAGCAGGAGAGCAGGCCUCUGACCUGCCUGGACACUGGCCAGAUUCCCUGCCUGCCGGCAAACACAGCAAGUCAGGCAACACUUCAGAUAAGAAAGGGAGUUCAGUUCAGUCUCUCAGUCAUGUCCAACUCUUUGCGACCCCAUGAAUNGCUGCAGUCCAUGGGGUCACAAAGAGUGACUUUGGGGAAGAGUGAGUUGGGGAACACAACUGAGUGACUUAACUGAACUGUUGGAGGUAAACAAUCAACCAACUAAUAAUGAGAAAGCCAAGCUAUCAGUGAUUGAUAAUUAAACAUCUAGAUUUCUACCAAUUAAAAAUUGCCACAAAUUCAAGAUGCUGGCAACAGCACACUCUUAUUACAGUGCUGUUUGCAAAAAUCUAUGGGAAAUUCUACGGCCUGUGUAAGUUCAUGCUCUAUGGGAACCUGAAACGCAUGACUGCUCACAUGGUGAGGAACUAGCCUCCAAGUGAUGGAUGAGACAGACUUAUCCAGAAACUCCAGCAGGCAGGACAGUCAUCCCUCAGGAUCUGCAGGGGGUUGGUUCCAGGACCCCCGUCUUCAAUGUGCACCCAAGUCCCUGGUAUAAAAUGGCAUAGUAUUUGCAUGUAAACUAUGGCACAGCCUCCCAUAUACUUUAAAUCAUCUUUAGAUUCCUUGUAAUACCUAACAUAAUGUAAAUGAUAUGUAAUUAGUUGUUGUGUGUGACAAAUUCAGCUUUUGCUUUUUGGAACUUUCUGGAAUUUUUUUUUCUCAAAUAUUUUCAGUCCAGGGCUGAUUAGAGUCACCAGUGGAGAACCCAAGGACAAGGAGGUCAGACUGCAACACCAAUCACAUUUCAGUAGCUUUUAAUGACAUCCUUGUGAUCAGAAGUAGAUAGCCUGCAGUCAUACCUUGAACUUGGAAGUCUGUGGAAUUCCAAGACCCACACCCUUAGGAACCGCUGAAAGAAACUGCAUGUCUGAAUCAGAUCACUGCCAUCCAGGAGAAGCCUUUUAAGUAAAGACCCAGACUGAAGAAUCCCUACUGUAAAAUCAAACCUCCAGGAUCUCCCUUGUGUAAAGUCCCAUGGGGACAUUCUGCAUAAUGACCUAACCCCUGCCCAUCUUUCAGCCCUCAGCCCAGUCCAUGCCUCUAACUACAG